AACCCAUUCCAUCCAUUCAAAUUCAAUCCCCUUUCCAUCCACUGCUUCCUCCGCCUCCGCCUCCGCCUCCGCCUCCGCCGCUGCCUACUUCUUCCAUUUUCGGCUCCUCUGUCUCUGCCUCCUCCUAGCAGCAGAAGAACUGAAGAAAAGGUUAGAAUACACAAACUCUUGAAGAAAACAGAGGCAAAAAGUUAAGAGACAAAAAAGGAAGGAGGUGGAUAUGAUGCUUACAAAAGGUUAAUAAUUUGAUUUAAAAAAAAAGAAAAAAAAAGAAAAAAGAAAGCUGCGAGCAGUGAUGCAACUAGUUAAAGGACAGGAUGAUUCAAAACCAGGAGGCACUGAUGCUAAAGCAAAGGUUGGCAGCCGACUCAUUGAAUUGUUGCUUCAAACAACCUAUUAACAGCCUCCAGUCAAUUAGUUAGCAGACAGUUCACUUGAUAUUCGAGCUGCAUUUAUACACACUUGUAUAACUGUACGGAAAGAAACAAAGAACUUUAGCGGACAAUAUGCUGUUAUCCAAUGUGAUCCACUUGUUACUAAAGGCCUUGAAAGAACUGCAAGUUCAUUUAUUUCUUCCUAUUCUUCUUUGGGAAAAAUCAGAUACAAUCAUUUCAAAAUAGCACAAUUAUUAAGACACGACUUGGAAAUUUAUUUUUAGUUCAGUUAGUGUAUUAAAUCUUCUAAGGAAUCUUUUGAUGAACUCCAACAUAUAUGGUGUCAAUUUUUCAGGUAGUUGGUUUUCAAUGUGUCUAUUUUCAAAAAACGUAAAUAACAUAUGAUUUGAUUGAAAUUAAAACAAAGACAUUUUUCUUAUUGAUUCAAUGCUUCUCUUGCAGCUUCGUUGGCCAUUGUGAAUUGUGUGGUGAGCAAAUCGAAGAAUGCAUGAAGACCGAUAGGAUUGAGCAUGCCACUAGAAUAUUACCCACAAGCUUGGUAUUGCAAGUGUAGCAAUAAGCUCUUCAUGCCUAAGCUGUAUCAAAAUUUUAUUUCUAAUUUUAUUUCAUUUUGAAACUCCUUUUUAUUUAAGUGGUGUCGUAUCACAUUUUAAUGUUCAAUUGUAU